GCCCUUUUCUUUUGCGUGCGGGCAUCCUAUAUACGAGGUGCCGGGUUCGCCCGGCUAUGGUGAUAAAUUGCGGCGUGCAAUAGAUGCAGCGGACCCGGGGGCGGUACCCGGCGGCUCCACCACCACCACCUGGAUGCCUGGAAACGGGUUGGCCGGGGCCCGGUUGUCGCCGGGGUGAUGAUGGGGCCGAACUAGGAUCGACGUGUGUUGAAAAGCGCUGUUUUUGCCCGGGCUGAGUAACCCGUUCAAGGCUCAAAACUCACAAGUGCCAACGACAACGAAGCACUCGCUCUUGCGGCGUAAUGUGACGGCUUAACGGCCUGAAUUUACAAAGCUAAAGCGCGGUUGGACCGACCGGGCAACAGAACGGAUACC
rnacentral:tmRNA from 1 species